GUGGAUCAGACUCCUUCUGAUAUCCAGGAAAAUAAGCUUGAAAACCAGUCACCAAUACCUGUUUUCGUACCAUCUAGGAUGGAAGUAUGAUGAUCUGACAUUCUGCUGUAACCAGGAAGAGAGCGGAUUUCUCUGAGACGUCUCGGGGGCCUCUGAAAAUCCCCAGACAAACUCUCCGUCCUCUCCUAGGUCAAAAGAAAGCCUUUAUUCAGGACUCGAAUAUUUUGCAGGGUGGAGGAGAGCCUGUCAAAAAAUAUUAAAAGAUUUAAAACAUUUGUUCAGAUAGGAAACAACGCUCCCUGCAAAACCACGCUCAUGCAUCUAUUCAAAGUGGCAACAGAAAUAGUCAAGGGCAAACAGAGUUAAAGCAGUGAUUUUGCAUCAGCUUGCUUUUGAAAUUGAAACUUAUUUACUUAAUAAAUUCAUUUCAAUCUCAGUCACCUUGACCAUAAACAAAACUCCUCAGGGUUUUACUUCCACAAACCUUCUGUCACCUGCUUUUCACCUUCAGAAUUUGUCCCAGGUCUUCUUUCCUUUUUUAUUUUCUUUCCUAGUUCUUCAGGACAAAUUUGUCUUUCUUAACAAAACAAACAAAAAUAUCUCUAUUCUUUUUAUCUCCUUUACUGAAAACAUACAUUUUACUUUCCUUGUAUACAGGCUUUUUAGAAAUAUGUCUUUUCUCAUAGAAAAUUCCUCAGCAUACAUAAAACAUGUUUAUCAAUAGGGCCUAAGCAUCUUUCAGUUUCUUUGGGAUAAGAAAUCAAACGCAGACAAAUCUAUGCUUAGGAAUCAACUUUUAAUAUUUUAUCUUAUGUGGAAAUGACGUAGAUACCAAAUAAACUUUCAUUAUUUAAUUGAACUUAACAAAGCUCUGAAAAGCUUAAAUUUCCAAAAAGAUUUUGGAAGGUGUUUUUCAAGUAUGCAGACUAUAAAACAUAAUUGUUGUACUUAAAAACUCUUACCCAUUUUCAACAACUAAAUUUAGGCUGCCUACAAAAACCUCGUGAGGCAUCAAACAAAAUCAGCUAUUAUACCAAGUUAUUUUUGCUGAUAAGUUCUCUAACAGAGAUAACAUGAGUUCAUUUGACCAGUUGACCCAGGCUAUACGUCUGCAUUAUAUCCACCAAUGCUAACUUUGAGGACAUGCCUAUUUUAAAUCAAACCAGCAAACUUAAACAGGCUUUUGUUUACCAAAGAUCAUUUUGUAUCAUGCUGAACACCUUGAAACACCUUUGGGAUAGUAUUUCUUACAUUUAGAAUUUAUAGUAUGUAUUUAGUUUAAAUCAAUUAAAUAGAGCUCUGAAUUUUGGCCAUACAAUGCAGAUAUAAAACAUCAUACACAUCUAACAUACAUAUAGACACACAUACACAGAGUUCCCACUGUUAUUAUUUAAAAAUUACUGCCAUGAAUCAGGUACAGUAACACAAAGCACCCUAGGUAGGAAUCCAAAUUUCGUUUUUCCAAGUUGCAUACCAGUGGUUGCAGCAUGAGGCUCUGUUGAAUUUUCCCAUUGACUCCAACAAUGGCAACUGAGGAAUUAUUUAAUGAUGAAUAAGUGGCAUCAGUACCCAGCAGAAAGUCAGCCAAUUGUGUCCCCACUGUCCCUUGUACCCAGGGCUCAUGGGGGACUAUUGGAACGGGAGCCACCAGCAUGGCAAAGAACCCUUGGCCCCAUCAGUCGUCUUCCUCCUCAGAGUCUUGGACUCAAGAGGUCAGGGAGCUUGUUAGGAGGACCCCGAUUUUUCCCUCUCAUGCCUUCCUCCAGCUUAGGGCACUCAUUUUUCCAGGGCCCCUUUUCUUUGCAGUAGGCACACUGAUUUUUCCCCAAUAUUUGGUGCACCUCCCUAUGCAGCCCUGGCUCCCCUUUUCUGUCUCUCCAUCUGGGGGAGCUGUGUAAAGCCCUUGGCGGGCUUGGCUUUACGUUCCUCUCGAGCAUUAUAAACUUUGAAAGCAACUUUCAUCAAGUGACCAGAACUUGUGGCUGUGGUGCCUUCAACCUUCUUGAGCUUCCUUCUAAUGUCGGGGGCAUUUACCAUCAGGGGCUGUGUCACAUAGAAAUUAGGAUUAAAGAGAUUUAAAACGCUCAGGGUUGGCAUGUCCUCAUCAAGUUUUUCUUUUGGUAUCUGAGCAUCUUUGACUACUGGGAGCUUGGCUUUUCUUUGGACCGUCAGCUUGUUCCCUGGCAGGACACCCGAUCAUGCAACCACAUAAAACCCUGCACAGGUGGAAACUCAUCCCGUUUUCCAGACCUUUCACAACACAACUCCAGCUGUAAGAUGGUGUAAUAACUCAAAGUUCCAUUCAAUGUCCAUCUUUCCUCACUUUCCAAGACAUACAUCAGCCAGGUGGUGUUACAACAAAAUACCAUAUUUUUUGUCAUCGGCUUGUAACUAUGGAUUGACCAUCAGCCAAAAUCUUUCCCAAGGGGCUCCAUGUGGUGACUCCCAUGUCAACACAAAAGGGGACAGACAGACAGACAAACAACAACCAAAGAGACCAAACCAAACCAAACAAGCAUGCUUUUCCAAACACCCUCAGCCAGCAACGGAAGCCAAUACAAAGAAACCAAAACUCACAACACUUCAGUUCCAGCGUAGUCUGUGUCCUACUGACAGGUGUGCCCAAUAAAUGAAGUCGCAGCCUACAGAUCUUCCCAAAUGAGCAAAGACAAGGGACCUCGAUUGUGCACACCGGGGGACUGACCUAGUUGGGCUGGGGGAUCACGACUCCACACAAACGCUCUUUCCUUCUCCCCAAG
ensembl:lncRNA